rnacentral:lncRNA from 1 species
CUACUCUCAGACAGCGACUCACCUGCACCUCACUGGGCAGCGCCGAACCUACGAAGGUUCUCUCUGAACCUUCGUAGAGAUGCCCAUUGUUGCUACCCACCCGGUGCUCCACCUCCCGCUGUUCGGCCCACGGGUGGCCUGGGGUGGCAGGGAUGCAGUGGGGCCCAGAGCCAGCAAGCAGGGUGUUAGCACCUGAAAGGAUGAGAUGCUGGCAUCUUCAGGAUUGGAAACAUGAGUGACCAGUUACCAGUUCACAGUGAAGACCUGGGCUGCCGGCCCUGAUGCUCUGGACUGAGCAAAGGAGUGAGCUGAGGGCAGGGGAAGGGACAGCCCGGUGGCAGCCUAGGUACCGUGGGGAGACAGGUGGAGGAGGCCACCUGAGGCCUCUCCGAGCUUGCACGGUCUGUUUGAAGGGGCAAAUACUUUCAGAUGUGACUUUGCCGGUGUUCUGUGCUCAGACUCGGCCCCUCGCAUUCCUUUCAGAGGCGAAAGGGUCUGUUUGUACAAUCACAGUGAUUUCCUGUUUAUCCUUUCGUUUCAAGCAUCCUCGCUCACUGGGGGUCAGUUAUGACACACCAUGAGGAAAGGCUUAGAUGCAUGAAGAUGAAACACAACACGGUUACCUCUUCUGGGCUUCUGCUCUACUGAGGCCAAGUGUCUCUACAUGACCAAAGGGUGAAAAGUUGCAGAGAAAACAUGGAGGACCCAGGAAAUCACCUCCCAGGGAAAUAAGUCUGAGCUCGGGACAAGGUCAAGAAACAAAGAGGAGAGAAAGGCUUGUGCUGCUUCUCCCGCCUGUGUCUGAACCUUAUUUGGAUGUCCAUCUGGAGUAAGACAAAAGCAACUCUUCUCCUCCAGCUCAGGCCAUUGAUAAGUGGUCCUGAGAGCCUGCAGCCAGACUGCACUUUUCCCUGUAAUUUACCCCAGAAUCCCAACAGCCUGUCUGCUGAAGAGGAGGAGAGAGGCACCCUGGGGCCUUGUCCACAAUGGUCCUGCCCAAGGCCUGCUCCCUCAGGACCUUCUCCUAGGGACCCAGGGCCAGACUCCUGGAGUUUCUCCUCUGCAGAGCAGCAUGGGGCGGAGAACAAGAGGCUGGGAAAAGCAGUGAGAGUACUGCCUGCCGGAUGGGGCCUGUGUCCGUCCUUCAGCCACACACGGCCCUUGCAACUUGUUGCAGGAAUGACGAGGUGUGUCCUGCAAAGAGGAGAGGAAACUCAUGCUGGUGGAGGGCGGCAGCCGCAUGGACCUUGGUCCCUUUGGGGAAAUAGAAAGGAGGCCAGUGUCAUCAGGAUUUGGGGUGCAGGUUGGAGAAGUAGGCAAAGACCAGGUGACGUCAGCAUCUUAAGAAUUUUAGAUUUCGUUCUAAAUUCAAUUAAAAAAAUAUUCCAAGAGCUGAAGGAGGUGAAUGAUGUGAUCUGACUUAGGAUUUUAAAUUACCGGCUGCUCCGUGGAGAACAGGUAGGGUGGAGCAAGCAGGGAGAAGUGAGGAUGACACUAGGAGGCCGUGCUCCCGGGUAGGACUUCAGCUACCUCACUGGAUGUCGCCCUGCUGUGACCCGGGGCAGGCCCCUCAGUGUCCCCAUUUGCAGACAAUGAGGGUGAUUCUUAUGGGAAAUACUCAGAUGGCCCAUCAAGAUCAGUCUUUAUUGCUGAAGCGGGGUGAGAGAGAAGUCCAUGGACAUGUUCGGAGGUUGAGUCCGUGGGAUUUUCUGGUGGAGGGGGACGUAGGAUACAAGGGACAGAAGAGGCAAGAAUUGAUUCUUAAUUCUCGUGGUCUGGGCAAUGGGGUGGAUGUGUUUCCAAUGGGGAUACCACCCAGGAAAUGUUCUGAGUGGGGGAAAACAGGAAGUGAAAUGGAUUUGGGGGGAAAUCAGGUCUUUUUUUUAAUUUUAAUUUCGAGAUGCCUGUGGAGCAUCCCAGUACACAGGGUGGAAGGCACUGGUGUAAGAGUCUGGGGCUCAGGGAGCAGUGAUGGCAGAGGUAGGAUGGCAGAGCAACGAGAUGGAAGUCCGUGGGACUGCUGAUGUCACAGAGGGAGCCGCAGAGGUAGAGAGAAGGCUGAAGAGGACGCCUAGUUAGAGGAGGCCCACCAGAGAAUAAAAGGGGGCACCUGGUGACA